GCCUUCGUGUUGUAACGGUAGCACACUCGGCUUGUAAUCGAGAGGUCCAGGUUAGAGUCCCGGCGAGGGCA
rfam:Stegodyphus mimosarum contig44878, whole genome shotgun sequence.